rnacentral:rRNA from 1 species
UACGUAGGUGGCAAGCGUUGUCCGGAUUUACUGGGCGUAAAGGGAGCGUAGGCGGACUCUUAAGUGGGAUGUGAAAUACUCGGGCUCAACCUGAGUGCUGCAUUCCAAACUGGGAGUCUAGAGUGCAGGAGGGGAAAGUGGAAUUCCUAGUGUAGCGGUGAAAUGCGUAGAGAUUAGGAAGAACACCAGUGGCGAAGGCGACUUUCUGGACUGUAACUGACGCUGAGGCUCGAAAGCGUGGGGAGCAAACAGGAUUAGAUACCCGUGUAGU